rnacentral:tRNA from 1 species
GCCUUCGUAGCUUAAUGGAUAGAGCAGCUGGCUUCGAACCAGCCGGUUGGGGGUUCGAGUCCCUCCGGAGGCA